GUGCUUACCUGCAGUCGACGGCAGCACGGGGGCAACCCUGGUGGCGAGUGGCGAACGGGUGAGUAAUACAUCGGAACGUGUCCUGUAGUGGGGGAUAGCCCGGCGAAAGCCGGAUUAAUACCGCAUACGCUCUACGGAGGAAAGGGGGGGAUCUUAGGACCUCUCGCUACAGGGGCGGCCGAUGGCAGAUUAGCUAGUUGGUGGGGUAAAGGCCUACCAAGGCGACGAUCUGUAGCUGGUCUGAGAGGACGACCAGCCACACUGGGACUGAGACACGGCCCAGACUCCUACGGGAGGCAGCAGUGGGGAAUUUUGGACAAUGGGCGCAAGCCUGAUCCAGCAAUGCCGCGUGUGUGAAGAAGGCCUUCGGGUUGUAAAGCACUUUUGUCCGGAAAGAAAACUUCCUGGUUAAUACCCGGGGAGGAUGACGGUACCGGAAGAAUAAGCACCGGCUAACUACGUGCCAGCAGCCGCGGUAAUACGUAGGGUGCAAGCGUUAAUCGGAAUUACUGGGCGUAAAGCGUGCGCAGGCGGUCCGCUAAGACAGAUGUGAAAUCCCCGGGCUUAACCUGGGAACUGCAUUUGUGACUGGCGGGCUAGAGUAUGGCAGAGGGGGGUAGAAUUCCACGUGUAGCAGUGAAAUGCGUAGAGAUGUGGAGGAAUACCGAUGGCGAAGGCAGCCCCCUGGGCCAAUACUGACGCUCAUGCACGAAAGCGUGGGGAGCAAACAGGAUUAGAUACCCUGGUAGUCCACGCCCUAAACGAUGUCAACUAGUUGUCGGGUCUUCAUUGACUUGGUAACGAAGCUAACGCGUGAAGUUGACCGCCUGGGGAGUACGGUCGCAGAUUAAU
rnacentral:rRNA from 1 species